UACGUAGGGUGCAAGCGUUAAUCGGAAUUACUGGGCGUAAAGCGUGCGCAGGCGGUUGUGUAAGACAGUUGUGAAAUCCCCGGGCUCAACCUGGGAACUGCAUCUGUGACUGCAUCGCUGGAGUGCGGCAGAGGGGGAUGGAAUUCCGCGUGUAGCAGUGAAAUGCGUAGAUAUGCGGAGGAACACCGAUGGCGAAGGCAAUCCCCUGGGCCUGCACUGACGCUCAUGCACGAAAGCGUGGGGAGCAAACAGG
rnacentral:rRNA from 1 species